rnacentral:rRNA from 1 species
GAGUUUGAUCCUGGCUCAACACGCUGGCGGUGCCUAAUAAUGCAUAACGCGAAGUGGAGCUCCAUGAGUAGAGGCAAACGGGUGAGUAACGCGUGGGUGACCUGCUUCGACGGGGAUAACGCCGAAAGGGACGCUAAUACCGAUAACAUGCCGCUUUAACAGGUGGACAUCAAAGCUGGGGAUCGCAAGACCUAGCACUUGAAGAGGGGCCCGCGUCUGAUUAGCUAGUUGGUGGGGUAAUGGCUCACCAAGGCAACGAUCAGUAUCCGGCCUGAGAGGGCGGACGGACACACUGGGACUGAGACACGGCCCAGACUCCUACGGGAGGCAGCAGUGGGGAAUUGUUCGCAAUGGGCGCAAGCCUGACGACGCAACGCCGCGUGGAGGAUGAAGACCUUCGGGUCGUAAACUCCUUUCGAUCGAGACGAAUGGCCUCCGGGUGAACAAUCCGGAGGAGUGACGGUACCGAGAGAAGAAGCCCCGGCUAACUCCGUGCCAGCAGCCGCGGUAAUACGGGGGGGGCAAGCGUUGUUCGGAAUUACUGGGCGUAAAGAGUUGCGUAGGUGGCAGAGUAAGCGGACAGUGAAAGCGUGUGGCUCAACUAUACAUACAUUGUCUGAACUGCUCAGCUAGAGAGUGAGAGAGGUAGUUGGAAUUCCCAGUGUAGGAGUGAAAUCCGUAGAUAUUGGGAGGAACACCGAUGGCGUAGGCAGACUACUGGCUCAUUUCUGACACUAAGGCACGAAAGCGUGGGGAGCGAACGGGAUUAGAUACCCCGGUAGUCCACGCCGUAAACUAUGGAUGCUAGCUGUUAUUCGUAUCGACCCGAGUAGUAGCGAAGCUAACGCGUUAAGCAUCCCGCCUGUGGAGUACGGUCGCAAGACUAAAACAUAAAGGAAUUGACGGGGACCCGCACAAGCGGUGGAGCGUGUUGUUUAAUUCGAUGGUAAGCGAAGAACCUUACCAGGGCUUGACAUCCUGCUAAUUUCUCCGAAAGGAGAGAGUGCCUUCGGGCCGCAGUGACAGGUGUUGCAUGGCCGUCGUCAGCUCGUGUCGUGAGAUGUUUGGUUAAGUCCAUCAACGAGCGCAACCCUUGUGAUUAGUUGAAUUUUUCUAAUCAGACUGCCCCGGCAACGGGGAGGAAGGAGGGGAUGAUGUCAGGUCAGUAUUACCCUUACGCCCUGGGCUACAAACACGCUACAAUGGCCGGUACAAAGGGCAGCCAAGUCGCAAGACGGAGCAAAUCCCAUCAAAGCCGGUCUCAGUUCGGAUUGCAGGCUGAAACCCGCCUGCAUGAAGCUGGAAUCGCUAGUAACGGUAGGUCAGCACACUACCGUGAAUACGUUCCCGGGUCUUGUACACAC